GCCGGUGAAGAGGCAUCCGAGCCUAAGCCAGACAAGGACGACCAGUAUAAGAUUGUUAUGGAAUAAUAUGUUCGAUUCCACGAGACGGUAGCCAAGCAAAAGUAUUAUCCUGGUCUCCUGUUCCGCGAAUGGUCUGUACAUAUCUGACAAAUUGUUUGAUCGACAUCAUGGAAAAUAUUGUUCCAGGGAGAAACCUGAGAAUUAAUUACGUUUCUCGAUGAUAAUUUAAGAUUUGCUAUUAUUGGGCAAGUUUUCGGUGCUUUUCACUCUCAUCGCUUUUUGGGGAAAGCUUCUGUAAAGGUUUCGAAUUUAUUUGUGAAUUAUGUUUUUAUUCUUUUUUUGUUUNUUUUUUUUUCAUUUUUGAUAAAUAAAAGCGAGAGACGGGCUCGAGUUUUACGAGUCGGGAAGAUUUACGAAUUCGGGGGAAAUUAGAGGGAGAAGGUGAGAAAUGGAUUGGUUUCGAAGGAAAUCGGAUUUGCACGUCUGAUCAAACGGAUCUAAGAAUAUUUCCAAUCGUGGUGCUUUUCAUUCUCGCAUGCUGUAACGCGAUCGAACAUUAGUCACGUUACGCCGACCGAAAUUUUAAUAAAUAUUUUUAUCAUUAA